GUGCUUGCUUCAGCAGCUCAUACACUAAAAUUGGAAUAAACAGAGAUUAGCAUGGUCCUUGUGCAAGGAUGACAUGCAAAUUCCUGAACUGUUCCCCUCAUUU
rnacentral:snRNA from 1 species